ensembl:lncRNA
GGAGUGGGCGGGGCUUCGCGGCCCGGAAGCGCUCGAUUGACGGUCUAAAAUAAAUAAUAAUUCUAGGCUCAAUUUGAAUAUUAUACUACCAAAAUACUUUAAAUAGAAUGCUUAAAGGCGAAGUAUGCGAUUCUAAAUUCAUUCAGCUGCCUAUAGCGCGUUGACGGCUGUCACGUGUGUCUGUUACUUUUCUCAGCGCUGCUCAGGAUGAACCAAUCAGAAUCAUCUUUGCUUAUUACUGGAGAAGGCUCUAACGUUUAUAGAGAAUUAUGGCACAGAUUUAUAUUUAUGUGUCAGAAUGGAAUUAAUAUAUUUAAACGAUUAUUACAUACAUACAUACAUACAUAUACACUUUAGUAGGUUGGUAUAUUAACACUGGAUCAGUUAAUGAAAUGUUGCUACUGUAUUUUUUACGGUUUAAUUCUAGCAACCACAGCUGCAAAUUUUUGACCGUAAAUAUGAAAUAAAAUGAAAGUAAAGUGUUGCUGUACUGAAAUAACAAAAACUUAAAACUAUUUAGACAUAUAAAAAAAAAAACACUAAAACUUUAACUAAAAUGAAUAUGAAAAACAAGACAAUAUAUUAAAAAACAUUUUAAAAAGACUACAACAAAAUCUCAGGGAUGCUGUAAUAACACUGGGAGGAGGAGAAAUUACAUAUUGAUUAUUUAGCAAAUAAUUUUAAGUCAUGUUAGAGUUUUUGAGGCCCCCUGGUUGAGAAGCACUCAACAUUGCUCAUAAGCUGUAAACUGUAUAUAUACUGUAGUUUAACUAGAAAUUAUUAUUGAACUGUGCUUUCUGAAGCAGGAGCCACUGCGAGGUCCAGGAGCGAUCAGGAGACGUGAUUGGCCGGAGCGGCUGAGGGGAGGGACUUUGAGCGCUGGCGGUCAGUGGCGUCAUCCUCGGGGGCGGUCCUGGAGUCAUGUCGUCGCCCAGCACCUGUACGCCCAAGUGACGCCCCGUCAGAGGACUGCCGUGUUUGACCCCCUCCUGAACGUGCCCUUUGACCUCAGCUGCUACAGGUGCUGCUACAGGUGCGGGGUCACUCGAGGUCACGGCCGGCUCAGGGUGAGGGGUGUCUGAUUCCGCUGUUGCCACGGCGGCGGGUGUGGGGCUGGUGGGCGUGGCUUUAGCAGAAGAGCGAUGCUUGAUGAAGAAGCCGCUCAGUUGAGAAUCUCUCGGGCUCCAACAAUUAUGAAUGUACAGUAAUGAGAUAAAACGAUUAUUGCGUGCACUUUCACUCCUCCAUAAAAGCUCAAUUUCACGUACAAAUCAGUAAAAUCUUGUAACGUGACUUUGAUUUAUCAAAGUUGAUUAGAUUUAUUCUUUUUUUUUUUUUAAAGUGUGAAGCAGAGCACGGACGAGUAAAGUCAACUUUUAGCUUAAGGUCUCGCCCAAACAGUCAAAUACACACAAAAAUGUGUCAGAAUGCGGCGCUUGGUGAUUAUUAUUCGCGUAAACCCUCAUCCGUUAUGUCUUAAGUGAACAUAAACAGCUGAGAAUGAAAUACAUGCAUAACAGUGCAUCGGAUCAAUGCAGCUCUUAAAGUGACAGCAGCCUAAUAUUCCUGCUGCGGACUGUGUGCUUCAUAUUAAUCAAACAACAAAAUCUCUCACUGCUCUCCGCUGAAGGACUUUGUAGCUUUAAUAAGGAACAGAGGAAGUUUAAUUCUUACAGUGAAGACUGUGCUGUUUAAUUUUACGUUCAAUUAUUAGAUUUCUGUAGUAGCUGUUCGCUGAAUACUUUAGACUUGCAUACAAAAAUUAAAGCUUAAAGCUUCUUUUUUGUAUUGUAUUCAUCCUUUGCCUUUUUUGUUUUUAUUGUAUUACUGACAGUUAAUUAUUUUGAAUAUUGUUUCAGGACUUUUUUUGUUGUUUUACCCUGGUAUUCUGCUGAGGUAUUGAGAAUUGUGACAUUUCUAAAAUGUAGAUGUCAUAGCAACCUUAUUUGCAGAAAAUAUAUAUUUG